GAUGAAGAACGCAGCGAAAUGCGAUAAGUAAUGUGAAUUGCAGAAUUCAGUGAAUCAUCGAAUCUUUGAACGCACAUUGCGCCCUUUCGCAUUCCGAAGGGCACACCUGUCCGAGCGCCGUCGCACAACUGAGGCGCAGCCUUGCGUUGGCGGGCGACUUGUGAGUAGCGAGUCGCCGCCCAAACGAGACGGCGCCGCGCCGCGGCCGACGAAGCACGAAAGCGGAAGUCGACGCGGAGGCGGUUGCCUGUAGGAAGACACAGCUUGGCCUCGGAUCAGGUGGGGAUACCCGCUGAACUUAAGCAUAUCAAUAAGCGGAGGA
rnacentral:misc_RNA from 1 species